GGAGUUUGGACCGUGUCUCAGUCCCAAUGUGGCCGUUCACCCUCUCAGGCCGGCUAUUGAUCGUUGCUUUGGUAGGCCGUUACCCUGCCAACUGGCUAAUCAAACGCGGGUCCAUCCUUAAGCGAUAAAUCUUUCCUCACUGUACCAUGCGAUACUGUAAGCAUAUGAGGUAUUAGCACCGAUUUCUCGUUGUUAUUCCUCUCUUAAGGGCAGGUUACCCACGCGUUACUCACCCGUCCGCCACUAGAAUUUCCUAAAAUCCAUCGAAACUUCAUCUAGGAGUUCCCGUUCGACUUGCAUGUGUUAGGCACGCCGCCAGCGUUCAUC
rnacentral:rRNA from 1 species